rnacentral:rRNA from 1 species
GACGAACGCUGGCGGCGUGCUUAACACAUGCAAGUCGAGCGGUAAGGCCCUUUCGGGGGUACACGAGCGGCGAACGGGUGAGUAACACGUGGGUGACCUGCCCUCAGCUCUGGGAUAAGCCCGGGAAACUGGGUCUAAUACCGGAUAUGACUCCACGGUGCAUGUCGUGGGGUGGAAAGCCUUGUGCGGCUGAGGAUGGGCCCGCGGCCUAUCAGCUUGUUGGUGGGGUGAUGGCCUACCAAGGCGACGACGGGUAGCCGGCCUGAGAGGGCGACCGGCCACACUGGGACUGAGACACGGCCCAGACUCCUACGGGAGGCAGCAGUGGGGAAUCUUGCGCAAUGGGCGAAAGCCUGACGCAGCGACGCCGCGUGAGGGAUGACGGCCUCGG